rnacentral:rRNA from 1 species
AAUAUUGGAAGGCAUCUUUUGAUAUUUAAAGUUCCGGCGGUACGGGAUGGGCAUGCGUAACAUUAGCUAGUUGGUAAGGUAACGGCUUACCAAGGCUUUGAUGUUUAGGGGUCCUGAGAGGGUGGUCCCCCACACUGGUACUGAGACACGGACCAGACUCCUACGGGAGGCAGCAGUGAGGAAUAUUGGUCAAUGGGCGCAAGCCUGAACCAGCCAUCCCGCGUGCAGGAAGACGGCGCUAUGCGUUGUAAACUGCUUUUCCAGGGGGAGAAACUUGCGCACGUGUUGCGCAAUUGACGGUACCCUGGGAAUAAGCAUCGGCUAACUCCGUGCCAGCAGCCGCGGUAAUACGGAGGAUGCGAGCGUUAUCCGGAUUCAUUGGGUUUAAAGGGUGCGUAGGCGGACUAUUAAGUCAGUGGUGAAAUCCUGCAGCUUAACUGCAGAACUGCCAUUGAUACUGAUAGCCUUGAGUUUGGUUAAGGUAGGCGGAAUGUGUAAUGUAGCGGUGAAAUGCUUAGAUAUUACACAGAACACCAAUUGCGUAGGCAGCUUACUGAGCCGACACUGACGCUGAGGCACGAAAGCGUGGGGAUCGAACAGGAUUAGAUACCCUGGUAGUCCACGCCGUA